GGCUCGGUGGCUCCGAGGCAAGAGCGCUGGCCUGCGGAUCCCCCAUGUGGCGGGUUCGAAUCCCGGCCGAGCUA
rfam:Ixodes scapularis strain Wikel colony gcontig_1108379321904, whole genome shotgun sequence.